CGUGACGUACGGCUCAGUAACACGUAGUCAACCUGCCCUGGAGACGCGGACAAACCCGGGAAACUGGGGCCUAUCCGCGAUAGAUGACUUCAUCUGGAAGGAGAGGUCGUCCAAAGGAAGCGCGAGUAUGCUUCGCGCAGUUCGCUCUAGGAUGGGACUGCGGCCGAUCAGGCUGUUGGCGGGGUAAUGGCCCACCAAACCUGUAACCGGUACGGGCUUUGAGAGAAGGAGCCCGGAGAUGGACACUGAGACAAGGGUCCAGGCCCUACGGGGCGCAUCAGGCGCGAAAACUUCGCAAUGCGCGAAAGCGUGACGAGGCUAGUCCGAGUGCUCUCCGCUGAGGAGGGCUUUUCUCGGCUGUAAAAAGGCCGGGGAGUAAGGGGAGGGCAAGUCUGGUGUCAGCCGCCGCGGUAAUACCAGCUCCUCGAGUGGUCGGGACGAUUAUUGGGCCUAAAGCACCCGUAGCCUGUUCGGUAAGUCCUCUGUUAAAUCCAGCUGCUCAACGGCUGUUCUGCAGGGGAUACUGCAGGACUAGGAGGCGGGAGAGUCGGACGGUACUCCGCGUGUAGGGGUAAAAUCCUUUGAUCCGCGGAAGACCACCAGUGGCGAAGNCGGUCCGCCAGAACGCGCUCGACGGUGAGGGGUGAAAGCUGGGGGAGCGAACCGGAUUAGAUACCCGGGUAGUCCCAGCCGUAAACGAUGCGAGCUAGAUGAUUCGAUCGCGGUUCGCGAUCGAAGUGUCGCAGGGAAGCCGUUAAGCUCGCCGCCUGGGGAGUACGGUCGCAAGGCUGAAUUUUGA
rnacentral:rRNA from 1 species